UACGAAGGGGGCUAGCGUUGCUCGGAAUCACUGGGCGUAAAGGGUGCGUAGGCGGGUCUUUUAAGUCAGGGGUGAAAUCCUGGAGCUCAACUCUAGAACUGCCUUUGAUACUGAAGAUCUUGAGUUCGGGAGAGGUGAGUGGAACUGCGAGUGUAGAGGUGAAAUUCGUAGAUAUUCGCAAGAACACCAGUGGCGAAGGCGGCUUACUGGUCCGGUUCUGACGCUGAGGCGCGAAAGCGUGGGGAGCAAACAGG
rnacentral:rRNA from 1 species